GCCCGGGCAUGGUGGCGGAUGCCUGUAAUCCCAGCUACUCAGGAGGCUGAGGCAGGAGAAUCACUUGAACCCGGGAGGUGGAGGUUGCAGUGAGCCGAGAUCACGCCGCUGCACUCCAGCCUGGGUGACAAAGUGAGACUCAGUCUCAU
rfam:Pan troglodytes isolate Yerkes chimp pedigree #C0471 (Clint) chromosome 6, whole genome shotgun sequence.